UACGGAGGAUGCAAGUGUUAUCCGGAAUCACUGGGCGUAAAGCGUCUGUAGGUGGUUCGAAAAGUCCACUGUUAAAAAUUGAGGCUUAACUUCAAAGAUGCCGUGGAAACUUUCAAACUAGAGUAUGGUAGGGGUAGAGGGAAUUUCCAGUGGAGCGGUGAAAUGCGUAGAUAUUGGAAAGACCACCGAUGGCGAAGGCACUCUACUGGGCCACUACUGACACUGAGAGACGAAAGCUAGGGGAGCAAAUGGG
rnacentral:rRNA from 1 species